CUCUGCGGCACGUGGGAUCCUCCCAGACCGGGGCACGAACCUGCGUCCCCUGCAUUGGCAGGUGGACUCUCAACCACUGCGCCACCAGGGAAGCCCAACUUCCACCAUCUUAAUCUUCCCAUUUGAGGAUACACUAAGAAGGCAGCCAUCUACAAGCCAGGAAGAGAAACUCCAGGCUCAGAAUAAACAAGAACCUGACCAUGCUGGCAUCUUGCUCUUGGACCUUCACCCUCCAGAACUGUGAGAAAUAAGUGUCUAUUGUUUAAGCCACCCCGUCUAUGAUAUUUUGUUACAGCAGCCUGAGCUAAAACUCAUCUUAAAAACUCUGUGCCUGGGGCUUUUUUUGAGGAAAGAUCUCUGAUUACAGGUUCAAUUUCUUGAAUGAGCAUUGUGUUAUAUUCAGAUUUUUCUAUUCUUGAUUCAGUUUUGGUAACUGAAAUACUUUAGAAUCAGCAAGGUCACGUUUCCAUUGGCAGGGGUGGGGGGGAGUAGACUGUGUCCCUGAGCACUGUCUCUGCCAUCAGAUCACUGUCAUCCAAGCCUGUUUUCCCACAGUAAUUUAUAUUUUUCUAUGAAAGUGUCCAAUUUUAUCUAAGUCUUAAAAUUCACUGGUAUCAGAUUUUUCAUGGCCUCUUUUCAUUCCUAGUCUUAAUUGUGCUUUUUUUCCCCCUUGAUCAAUCUUGCCAGAGAUUUGUCUGUUUUUAUCUUUUCAAACAAUUAGUUUCACUCAUCACCUAUAUGGCUUCUUUGUUUUAUAUUCCAUUAAUUUCAGCACUUAUUUCUAUAUUUUUCUACAUUCUUCCUUUUUAUUAUUUUUUUUCUACUUAAACCCUUAGAUCAUCAUUUUCAUUUUUGUUAUUUUUCCAAAAGUGCAUUCAGAGGCUGUAAAUUUCCUUCUAAGUACUCUUUCAGCUAUAUCCCAUAAGUUUUAGUUGAUAGCACUUUUGUCAUACAUUUCCAAAUAUCUUAUAAUUUCCACUAUGAUUUUUAACUUAUGAAUUUAUAUGAAUGUCAAUUUUUAUUUUUCAAUUUUACUUAUUUCUACAGUUUCCAACCAUUUUAUGAUUUGUGAGAAUUUUUAUUAUUGAUUUCUAAUUCUUGUGCAUUAUGAUAAAAAAUGUGAUUGAUUGGUAUGAUAUUGACUCUUUAGAAUUUGUGGCAAAUUGUGCCAUAGAGCACUAGUACUAUGUGGUCUAGUAUAUGGUCAAUAUUUAUAAAUGUUCCAUAUGUACUUGAAAAGAAUGUUUAUUUUUUAUUCAUGCUUUUCAAUAUAUUUGUUGUUUAAAUCUUCUAUAUCUUUACUAAUUCUUCUUGUCUGUUUUGUGUAUCUUUUGUCUGUUUCGAUGUUUUCAAGAGAGUUGUUUUAAAUUCUCCCAUAGAUUAAGAAUUGACAGUUUUCCCUUCUGUCUUUGUGUGUCUGAAAAUGUCUUCUGCUCUUACUCUUACUCAUUUUAAAUAAGAUUUCAGUUGGUAAAGAAUUCUUGGUUGACAGUUAUUUUCCCUCAGCAGUUUAAAUACUUACUCCCUGUCUUUAGGGCUCUAUUGUUGUUGAGAAGUAUCUCUUGUUAAAUUGGGCAAUCAUUCAGAACAUAUAUUUUCUCUUUGGUAGCUAUAGGUAGAAAAUAAACCUCUUUGUCCUUGAUGUUUUGCAGUUUUACUAUUUAUCCUGUUCAGGACUCAUUUUAUAUAUUCAGUCUAAGGAAACUGUUAAUAUUAUCUCUUUGAAAAUUGCCUUUCCCCCACUUAUUCUAUUCUCCUUGGAUUCCUUUUAGUUGUAUGUGAAACAUUUUAUUAUACCAGUCUCUUAAUUUUUCUCGAAUAUUUUUCUAGUUAUCUAGCUCUCUUAUUCACUCUGGGUAAUAUCCUCUAGUCUGCCUUCUAAUUCACUAGUUCUCUCUUCAGCUGUGUCUAGUUUAUUGUUUAAUCCAUCUAUUGAUAAUGAAAUAUUAUCAAUAAAUUUUGUUUCUUUCA